rnacentral:rRNA from 1 species
UACAGAGGUCUCAAGCGUUGUUCGGAUUCAUUGGGCGUAAAGGGUGCGUAGGUGGCGUGGAAAGUUGAGUGUGAAAUCCUAGGGCUUAACCUGGGAACUGCGUUUGAAACUACAAGACUAGAGUGUAGCAGAGGGGGGUGGAAUUCCACGUGUAGCAGUGAAAUGCGUAGAGAUGUGGAGGAACACCGAUGGCGAAGGCAGCCCCCUGGGUUAACACUGACGCUCAGGCACGAAAGCAUGGGGAGCAAACAGG